rnacentral:rRNA from 1 species
UACGUAGGGUGCAAGCGUUGUCCGGAUUUAUUGGGCGUAAAGAGCUCGUAGGCGGUCUGUCGCGUCGGAUGUGAAAAACCCAGGGCUCAACCCUGGGCCUGCAUUCGAUACGGGCAGACUAGAGUGUGGCAGGGGAGACUGGAAUUCCUGGUGUAGCGGUGAAAUGCGCAGAUAUCAGGAGGAACACCGGUGGCGAAGGCGGGUCUCUGGGCCAAAUACUGACGCUGAGGAGCGAAAGCGUGGGGGAGCGAACAGG